UUCUCUAUCUACUUCCGGGGGAGAUCGGAGCGGAUGCUUCGCAUUGUCUGUGAGCUGGUAAUGAUCUGUAUUAUACAGGAGGAGCAGCCUGUGGUGUCCUGUUGUUAUUAUAAUACAGGGGGCGCAGCCUGUGGUGUCCUAUUAUUAUCAUUAUUUAUACAUGAGUGACGAUAUCUUCCUAGACAUUUGUCCUGUGAUGCAUUAUAAAGUCACAUGAGACGCAUCCUGCAUGAAUUAAUGAGUCACUGAGGAUGGACAAGGACCGGAGUCCUAUGACUGAGAGGAUACUAAAUCUCACCCUGGAGAUCAUCUACCUGCUGACUGGGGAGGGUUACACAGUCGUGAAGAAGACAUCCAUUGAGCGUGAGACAACCUGCAGCCAUCCCCGUGGGUCAAGAGGACUGAGCAGGACCCAGAGCCUCAUCAUGAUGCCUCCACCUCACUCACUGAUACAUGAGAGACACAAUGACCAGAAGAUCCUGGAACUCACCAACAAGAUCAUUCAGCUGCUGACUGGAGAGGUGUCUGCUGGGAAUGGGACAUUAU